GGCCAGACUCCUACGGGAGGCAGCAGUGGGGAAUAUUGCACAAUGGGGGGAACCCUGAUGCAGCGACGCCGCGUGGGUGAAGGAGUACUUCGGUACGUAAAGCCCUAUCAGCAGGAAAGAAAAUGACGGUACCUGACUAAGAAGCCCCGGCUAACUACGUGCCAGCAGCCGCGGUAAUACGUAGGGGGCAAGCGUUAUCCGGAUUUACUGGGUGUAAAGGGAGCGUAGACGGCUGUGCAAGUCUGAAGUGAAAGCCCGUGGCUCAACCGCGGAACUGCUUUGGAAACUGUAUAGCUUGAGUACUGGAGAGGCAGGCGGAAUUCCUAGUGUAGCGGUGAAAUGCGUAGAUAUUAGGAGGAACACCAGUGGCGAAGGCGGCCUGCUGGACAGAAACUGACGUUGAGGCUCGAAAGCGUGGGGAGCAAACAGGAUUAGAUACCCUUGUAG
rnacentral:rRNA from 1 species